rnacentral:rRNA from 1 species
UACGUAGGGUGCAAGCGUUGUCCGGAUUUAUUGGGCGUAAAGAGCUCGUAGGCGGUCUGUCGCGUCGGUUGUGAAAACACAAGGCUCAACCUUGUGCCUGCAAUCGAUACGGGCAGACUAGAGUACUGCAGGGGAGACUGGAAUUCCUGGUGUAGCGGUGGAAUGCGCAGAGUAUCAGGAGGAACACCGGUGGCGAAGGCGGGUCUGCUGGGCAGUAACUGACGCUGGAGGAGCGAAAGGCGUGGGGGAGCAAACAGG